rnacentral:rRNA from 1 species
AGUAAUGUCUGGGAAACUGCCUGAUGGAGGGGGAUAACUGCUGGAGACGGUAGCUAAUACCGCAUAACGUCGCAAGACCAAAGAGGGGGACCUUCGGGCCUCUUGCCAUCGGAUGUGCCCAGAUGGGAUUAGCUAGUAGGUGGGGUAACGGCUCACCUAGGCGACGAUCCCUAGCUGGUCUGAGAGGAUGACCAGCCACACUGGAACUGAGACACGGUCCAG